rnacentral:rRNA from 1 species
GACGAACGCUGGCGGCGUGCCUAAUACAUGCAAGUAGAACGCACAGUUUAUACUGUAGCUUGCUACACCAUAGACUGUGAGUUGCGAACGGGCGAGUAACGCGUAGGUAACCUACCUGGUAGCGGGGGGUAACUAUUGGAAACAAUAGCUAAUAACUCAUAAUAUUAAUUAUUACAUGAUAAUUAAUUGAAAGGUGCAAUUGCACCACUAACAGAUGACCUUGCGUUGUUUUAGCUAUUAGGUGAGGUAACGGCUCACCUAGGAGUCGAUACAAAGCCGACCUGAGAAGGUGAUCGGCCGCACUGGGACUGAGACACGGCACAGACGCCUACGGGAUGCAGCAGGAGGGAAUCUUCGGCAAUGGACGAAAGUCUGAACGAGCAACGCCGCGUGAGUGAAGAAGGGCUUCGGAUCGGAAAGCUUUGUUGUAAGAGAAGAUUGGGUGUGAGAGUGGAAAGUGCACACUGUGACGGUAUCUUACCAGAAAGGGACGGCUAACUACGUG